UGAGAGAAAUUUAGUGAAGGAAUUUGACAGGUAUAAAGUUUAAUGCUUUAUUGUUAUAUAGAAAAGUUU
rnacentral:rRNA from 2 species